UUUCCGUAGGUGAACCUGCGGAAGGAUCAUUAAAGAAUGUCCCGUUUUUCGUAAUGGGUUCUAUUCCCAAACCGUGUCUACAUACCUUUGUUGCAUUGGCGGGCCGCCUAAGGGCGUGGGCCUCGGCUAGUUGUGCCCGCCAGAGGACCCAAACACGUUUUGUUUAGUGAUGUCUGAGUACUAUAAAAUAGUCAAAACUUUCAACAACGGAACUCUUGGUUCUG
rnacentral:misc_RNA from 1 species